CGACCGUCCAGACCAAUUAAAACAAUAGCACGCCAAAUGAAUUGGGUGAUAAAUAGAUAAAUAAUCAAAAUAAAUAAUUCCAGAUAAAUAUUUUGGGUUAAUUAAAAAUUAUUCUUAUUUAAUGUGAAAUGUUUUGAAAAAUUAGCAUGCUAGCUAGCAGGUUGCUACUGAAAGCAGAAAUGCCAGACGGGACCGUUAGCAAAGUGCAGGUCAGGACUCCUCUCAUCCCCUGCUUUCCCUGCCCGAAGUCGAAUUGUGUGUCAAGGUUUCCCCCCUCCUCAUCUUCGAAGAUCUACUGGAAUAACCCUCUGCUCUCCAAAGGCUCCUUCUCGCUCCUUCUCGCUCCUCCACUUAGUGACAGGUCCAACACAGAAGAUCCAAACUCCUCAUUCUUCUCAAGUCUUUAAUAACGUUAUCAUUCUAUGUCUAUUUAUUUCAAAGUUUUCCAAUUAAAGCCUCCACCAAGUUCAUAAUUGGUUCCCAGAAAAAAUCCUACAACGUUUCUAUUUUGUUCUCAAAACAUUCUGACAUAUUUUUCCUGUUAGAUUUAUUAUUAUUUUUUUUACAAAAAUACAACACAUGCUCUGCACAUUAG